rnacentral:rRNA from 1 species
CCUACGGGGCGCUGCAGUGGGGAAUAUUGGACAAUGGGCGAAAGCCUGAUCCAGCCAUGCCGCGUGUGUGAAGAAGGCCUUCGGGUUGUAAAGCACUUUCAGUGGGGAAGAAAGCCUUGGGGCUAAUACCCUCGAGGAAGGACAUCACCCACAGAAGAAGCACCGGCUAACUCCGUGCCAGCAGCCGCGGUAAUACGGAGGGUGCGAGCGUUAAUCGGAAUUACUGGGCGUAAAGCGCACGUAGGCGGUCUGAUAAGCCGGUUGUGAAAGCCCCGGGCUCAACCUGGGAACGGCAUCCGGAACUGUCAGGCUAGAGUGCAGGAGAGGAAGGUAGAAUUCCCGGUGUAGCGGUGAAAUGCGUAGAGAUCGGGAGGAAUACCAGUGGCGAAGGCGGCCUUCUGGACUGACACUGACGCUGAGGUGCGAAAGCGUGGGUAGCAAACAGGAUUAGAUACCCGAGUAGUC